GUGCCAGCCGCCGCGGUAAUACCGGCAGCCCAAGUGAUGGCCGCUGUUAUUGGGCCUAAAGCGUCCGUAGCUGGCCGCACAAGUCCGUCGGGAAAUCCGCCCGCUCAACGAGUGGGCGUCCGACGGAAACUGCACAGCUUGGGACCGGAAGGCUCAGAGAGUACGUCCGGGGUAGGAGUGAAAUCCCGUAAUCCCGGACGGACUACCGAUGGCGAAAGCACUCUGAGAAGACGGCUUCGACAGUGAGGGACGAAAGCUCGGGUCUCAAACCGGAUUAGAUACCCGGGUAGUCC
rnacentral:rRNA from 1 species